ACCCACGUCCCGCCCCGGUGGUCACGUGACACCUGGGGUCUCCGCGCGUGGUGGAGGGGGCGGAAGAGCUCGGAGAGCAGAGAGCCUCGGCGUCUUCUCUAGAUUCUCGGUACACGCACGAUUACGUGCUGUCGCUGCGUCCCUCCAACCUGUUCUCUGGGGCUCGAAUGGUGGGAAGGCCUGAGAGGGGCCAGACCUGCAGAAGCCCUGAGGCCUCUGGUGCCACCAGGUAAGACUGCAGCUCAAAGAGGGAAUCAGCCUUUCUGUAGCCUGGAGACCUCUCCUCUGUCAGCACAAAAGGAACCUGUGGGGAUUCAGGAUGAUCCUGGAACAACAGCAUGCUACAGGACCACAGAGGUUGCACACCUUUCCUCACCCCAGAAGCAAAAAAGAGGCUAUCCAAAGUCUAGAGAAUAGACUUCAAGUUGUUUUGCCCAGUACAGCGUUUUAACCAAAAGAGGGGGAGAUUCUACUGAUUGGCAAGUCAAAGUCCCAACCAAGUGUUGUAUUGGGGUGAUGCAGAUUUCACUGGUCACAGAAAAUAAACACUAUUUUCAUGGUACAUGGGAUUGUGUGAUUUAUAACCACCCU
ensembl:lincRNA